UACAGAGGUCCCAAGCGUUGUUCGGAUUCAUUGGGCGUAAAGGGUGCGUAGGUGGCGUCGUAAGUCGGGUGUGAAAUCUCGGGGCUUAACUCCGAAACUGCAUUCGAUACUGCGGUGCUUGAGGACUGGAGAGGAGACUGGAAUUUACGGUGUAGCAGUGAAAUGCGUAGAGAUCGUAAGGAAGGCCAGUGGCGAAGGCGGGUCUCUGGACAGUUCCUGACACUGAGGCACGAAGGCCAGGGGAGCAAACGGG
rnacentral:rRNA from 1 species